UACGUAGGGGGCAAGCGUUGUCCGGAUUCAUUGGGCGUAAAGAGCGUGUAGGCGGCCAGGUAGGUCCGUUGUGAAAACUCGAGGCUCAACCUCGAGACGUCGAUGGAAACCAUCUGGCUAGAGUCCGGAAGAGGAGAGUGGAAUUCCUGGUGUAGCGGUGAAAUGCGUAGAGAUGUGGAGGAACACCAGUGGCGAAGGCGAAUCCCUGGAAAAUACCUGACACUGAGGCACGAAAGCUAGGGGAGCAAACCAGG
rnacentral:rRNA from 1 species